GCGAAGUUGGCGGAACGGCAGACGCGCCGGUUUUAGGAGCCGGUGGGCAACCGUGGGGGUUCGAAUCCCCCACUUCGCACCA
rnacentral:tRNA from 1 species